GGGGCUGGAGGAGCUGGAAGAGCUGAGGACACCCAGUGCCCAGCUGGAGCAAUGAUGGGCCAGCGUUAGCAUCACGGAAGGGAUUCAUGCGAGGGAUGUAGUAAUGCCUUUUCCUGCUAGAUUAAAGAGCCGUCUGCUAUCAGAAAUCUCCUCGCCGUGCAUAUGCUCGUGGACCGUGAGCAAGCCACCUCUUGGUCUCCUCAAUAAACCAAACAGCCGGAGCUUCUUCGCUCUGUCACUGUAA